rnacentral:rRNA from 1 species
UGGCUUAAUUUGACUCAACGCGGGAAAUCUUACCGGGUCCGGACACACUGAGGAUUGACAGGCAAAAGAUACAAGUUUUGAACUUGCAUUGUAAAAUAUGCGAGUCCUUUCAUGAUUAUGUGAUAGGUGGUGCAUGGCCGUUCUUAGUUCGUGGAGUGAUCUGUCUGCUUAAUUGCGUUUCAUAACGAUUUAAAACACUGUGUUUUAACGUUUGCUGUUCACCUGACUACGGUCAUGGUUUGAACGCACGUAGCAUGGUUAAAAACAAUCGGAAAGCAACGAACGUGACCGCAACCUCUUGUUGCCUUUAUUUUUAAAGCAUAUUCUCUGAUUAUUAUCUUCGGGUAGUAGUUACGCUGAUUAUGUUGAAAAAGGCUUUAAAACUAGAGGGACCGCUGUUCUAUUUUCUUUAAACCAGAGGAAGAUUGCGGCAAUAACAGGUCUGUGAUGCC